rnacentral:rRNA from 1 species
UACGUAGGUGGCAAGCGUUACUCGGAAUCACUAGGCGUAAAGCGCAGGUAGGAGGUUUAGUAAGUCUGUUGUGAAAGCUCCCGGCUUAACUGGGAGAGGUCAACGGAAACUGCUAGGCUAGAGUGUGGUAGAGGAAGGUGGAAUUCCCGGUGUAGCGGUGAAAUGCGUAGAUAUCGGGAGGAAUACCUAUGGCGAAAGCAGCCUUCUGGACCACCACUGACUCUGAUCUGCGAAAGCUAGGGGAGCAAACAGG